CGCGGACCGAACGGACGAGGCGACACGAACGGUAUCGGCAGCGAUCCUAUGAAAAAUUCAAUUGUACGGAGUACAUAGCCGGUUGAAUGUUGCAACACGCACAUGUCGUGGCGGCCAUAGAGCGGCUGUAGUUCUACGAUCUACGGGAAAAUCGUCCUCAGUCUCCACUUUUCCCGGGUAAUUCCUUCGAAUCCGCGAGGCCGCGGCGACGAUGACCCUGGAAUUGUCGAACCUCCCGCUUGCAACGAUGCUUCUUCAAGUUUUAUUCCUCACUCUGAUGCUAUGCCACGAACCACCAACAGAGCUGCUCUAGAAAACCCGGCACGCUGACCCGACGACUAAAAUAUGUAGUAAUAAAGUACAGGAAGAAUCGUUUAAAAGGAAUUUCCAACCGGGGAGGAAGCAUCGGGAGGAUCGAAGUCGGGGCACGUUUCCGCAGAGAGGCGGUAUCGCUUACCAUUGAGGCGUACCACUUGCGUUCUGGUUGCGCCGAUCGAAUUGAAUAUUGCAGGGGGGGAAACCUUUCCACGAAAAACCGAUACAAGCGGGACCCGAACGAUCUCCGUCCGUAGCCGGUCACACGACGCAGACAGGAAGCG